rnacentral:rRNA from 1 species
UGGUCUUAGCUUGCUAAGGCCGAUGGCGACCGGCGCAGCGGGUGAGUAACACGUAUCCAACCUGCCGUCUACCCUUGGACAGCCUUCUGAAAGGAAGAUUAAUACAAGAUGGCAUCAUGAGUCCGCAUGUUCACAUGAUUAAAGGUAUUCCGGUAGACGAUGGGGAUGCGUUCCAUUAGAUAGUAGGCGGGGUAACGGCCCACCUAGUCUUCGAUGGAUAGGGGUUCUGAGAGGAAGGUCCCCCACAUUGGAACUGAGACACGGUCCAAACUCCUACGGGAGGCAGCAGUGAGGAAUAUUGGUCAAUGGGCGAGAGCCUGAACCAGCCAAGUAGCGUGAAGGAUGACUGCCCUAUGGGUUGUAAACUUCUUUUAUAAAGGAAUAAAGUCGGGUAUGGAUACCCGUUUGCAUGUACUUUAUGAAUAAGGAUCGGCUAACUCCGUGCCAGCAGCCGCGGUAAUACGGAGGAUCCGAGCGUUAUCCGGAUUUAUUGGGUUUAAAGGGAGCGUAGAUGGAUGUUUAAGUCAGUUGUGAAAGUUUGCGGCUCAACCGUAAAAUUGCAGUUGAUACUGGAUAUCUUGAGUGCAGUUGAGGCAGGCGGAAUUCGUGGUGUAGCGGUGAAUGCUUAGAUAUCACGAAGAACUCCGAUUGCGAAGG